rnacentral:tmRNA from 1 species
UUUGGCUUCGACGGGGGUAAGAGGAGUUUGAUAAGCGAGUCGAGGCAGCAUGUCACCUCGUUAAUCAAGUAUGCAAAAAGAUAAACGCAGAAGACAAUUUUGCAUUAGCAGCCUAAUUUAGCGCUGCUCAUCAGCCCGGGGUGCCCACGCUUCGGAUCACUGGUGUCAUUAAAGUGGGAAACGAAGUUUAGCAAAGCUUUGAGCUAAAGGGGUAUUUAUGAAGCUAGUGAUUAGGUUGCCUGUCUAUAGGCGUUCCUAUGAGCGAAUUUUAAUAUAUAGACUACACUCGUAGAAAGUCAGAUGCAUCUACUUUCGGACAGGGGUUCGAUUUG